AUCUUCAACCCCAUGGCCGAAUAUAGCAAGGAGAAACCAUGGCUAGGGUUUUUCAAGCUUCCAAGCUCGAUUUGUUGACAAGCCAGCUCGGAAAUCGGAAACGGUCGGAGGCACGCUCACACUAUCCGUAUACCAUCUUGACAUAAUGGCUUGUAUAUUUUGAGUAUGGCAUGUAUAGCAUUAUAAUCAUUUUGUAUAUAUGGUCUUAUGAUAUGGUUAUUGAGUGGUAUGGAGAUAGAAA